rnacentral:lncRNA from 1 species
CCAAAAUCUCGGCCAGAAAAGACCGAUUUUCAUUUAUGCUUUUAAAAUAUUUUCAGAGUAAAUCUUUUUGAUUUGAAAGAGUUGCGGAAUUUGUUCCCAAAAACAAAACAUGAUAAAACAAUGUUUACCAAAGCAUUUCAUAAAAGAAAUGUAUUUUUCAUUAUAUAAUCAAAACUCGGGGUGUCAUGUUCCGAUACAGACCAAUAAGCAUAAACGAAUACAUUACAAGUCAUAUAACAAAUAUAAACAUAUGCGGACUUGUAAACAAAACAACUUGAUGGUUCAUCCAUCUCAUGCCCUUCCGCCACUACCUGUAAUACAAUUUAAAACUGAGUGGGUCAGGCUUGGGAGCCUGGUGAGCAUAUAGGGUUUUCAACCCACAAUAAAUAUCAUAUUUAAUUUUCACCAACCAACAAUAACCCAAUUACCCAUUCCCGUUAUUCUCACUUUAAUGUCCCUAAAACAACUAACAUAAGGGACCUAGUCUAAGAAUAUUUCAUCGGGGCGACAACACAUGCUUCGGGGGUACCUCAGCAAUAUAAGUCAAAUAAGGCAACCAUGAGGGGGAUGGAGUACAGCGAAUGAACACCCAAGUUCAUUAACACCUACAGGUGGCGAACCUGCUAAUGUUUCCACAAGACUGUCUAGAAUAGCCAGUGGUCGUCAUCUAAACUCCGCUAGAUGACUCAAUCAAACAACAACGAGGCCUCUCAUCUGUUUAUUACACACCAACUGUCUACCCAUGUUCUACCCAACAUAUUAGUAGAUAAAAAUAUACAUUUGUAUACAUAGUUUAAAGAAAACCUGUAUAGCAUGCUUUAAUCAACACAUAUAUCACAUAACAGAUGAGGCACACACACACAUAACACAUAUCUCAUAAAGAAAUAAGCAGAUCUAUAAGAUAGAAGAGAGUGAAUACUCAUUCACACAUAACACAACCAAAUAUAUACACAUAGCACGUAUUUUUAUAUAAAAUACUUCGUAUUAUUGUAUUAGAAGAAAUAACUACACACUCACUUGAUCAGAAGAUGAUCGGACAGCACUACGGCUUAUAGAAGUAGUAAUCCACAGCAGAUCUGGAAGAUCUUCUCGAAAAUCGAACUUCUCGCGGGCAGAGCUUCGACUCGGGAACCGCACUUUUCGGGAUCUUCGGGAUCUCGGGACUUGCCUCGGGGCUAGAGUAUGAUACCGGGACUUCGGGGUAGCUUCGGGGGUUUUUGCACAGAGCUUCGACACGAAAACGAGAGGGAAUUGGCAAAAAUACCCGGAACCCUCGCAUCCUAUUUAUAGGAGGCUGGAGCCUCGGAGUACGCGGGGCGUACUGCGUUACGCGGGGCGUACUGCCCAAAACGUCAUUGCUUACGUAUCCGAAGUGCUCGAGUGCGAGUGUCGACAUCCCUCGGAGUACGCGGGGCGUACUCGAGUACGCGGGGCGUACCUCGGAUCAGAUCGGUGACUCCUUCGGAUAAUGCUUCCGAAUUUUGAUUUAAAUAUAAAUACAAAAUGAUUAAUAAACUUCGGAAAUUCAUAACUUCUUCAUACGAACUCCGUUUUCGACGUUCUUUAUAUCCACGCGAAGGUGAGACCACGCUCUACGACUUUCGUUUAGACUCCGUCGGCUAAUUUUGACUUUAUUUUUAUUAAUUAUUUUUAAUAGGCCGGGACAGAAACUUUCGUUAUAAAUUCAUAACUUCUUCGUUUGACGUCCGUUCUCGCCUAACUUUUUAUCGUUUCAAUACCAACAAUGAGAUCUUCGAUUCUCAUUUAGAUUGCUUCGGCUAACAACCGCUCGAUCUCAAAUCGAGUAAAACAGGCUGUAUAUCGCUAAGCCGGAACUUCGAUAAAUCAUAACUUCCUCAUACGAAGUCAGAUUUGGGCGUUCUAUAUAUAUUCGGAAACCUCGUUUCAACUACUACAACAUUAACCAAAUAUAUUAAGUUUAUUUUACACUUAAAUUUUGACGCUUAUUUUUAUUCUUAAUUAAUCAAACCACAUAAUUAAGCAAUUAAGCACAAAACACACAAUACUCAAAUAAUACAAUCUUAUUAUUUCAAAACGGGUUACAGAGGUUAACCUAGACUAUUACAUUGCUACAAAUGGCAAGCCCGAAACACAGGCGUUACAAUUCUCUCCACCUUAGAAUGAUUCCGUCCCCGGAAUCACACAUCAACAAACAAAUGCGGAUAGCGACUCAACAUGUCACUCUCCGUCUCCCAGGUGAGAUUCGGCCCAUUCGUGUGUUUCCAUCGGACAAGCACUAACCCAACCAUUUUGCGUCGCAACUUCUUAGUCUUUCGGUCAACAAUUGCCUCUGGUUCUUCAAUCAACCUUUUGUUCUCAUCAAUUCUCAAUUCAGAAAUUGGAAUUAUAUCGGGAACUUCUCCCGUGAACUUCCUCAAAUAACACACAUGAAAGGUGUUGUGAAUUCCAUUCAGUUCUUCGGGUAAUUCGAGCUUGUAAGCUUGAUUCCCAAUCCUCUGAAGGACUCUAAACGGUCCAAUAAACCUUGGACUCAACUUUCCCCUUUUACCAAAUCUUAUAAGUCCCUUCCACGGCGAGACUUUAAGCAAAACCGAAUCUCCAACCUCAAAAGUCAUCGGUCUUCGCUUCUUGUCAGCAUAGCUCUUUUGACGAUCUUGAGCUGCUAACAUUCUUUCCCUAAUUAUUUUCAACUUUUCAGCAGUUUGAUGAACCAACUCCGGUCCCAUAAACUGCUUUUCCCCAGCCUCAAGCCAACAAGACGGCGUACGACACUUCUGUCCAUACAAAGCUUGAUAAGGUGCCAUCUUAAUGCUCGAGUGAAAACUAUUAUUAUAGGAAAAUUCUACCAACGGUAAAUGUUCAUCCCAAUUACCUAGGAAUUCCAAGGUACAUGCUCUCAGCAUAUCUUCAAGUGUUUGUAUUGUUCUUUCACUCUGACCAUCAGUCUGCGGAUGGUAAGCUGUGCUUAAACAUAACUUGGUACCCAUUUCCUCUUGUAGACUUUUCCAAAACCUUGAGGUGAAACGGCUAUCACGAUCCGAUACAAUCGUUAACGGAACACCGUGAAGCCUCACAAUUUCCUUCACGUAAGAAUUCGCAAGCUUUUCCAUAGACCAUUUCUCCCUGGCCGCUAUGAAAUGCGCACUCUUAGUGAAUCGAUCAACGACCACCCAAAUCAUGUCGUGACCAUUCUUUGUUCUGGGCAGUUUAGUGACAAAAUCCAUAGCAAUGUCUUCCCACUUACCCAUAGGCACAGGCAAAGGUUCUAAACUCCCGUACGGUUUCUGAUGUUGUGUCUUGACUCUCGCACAAGUCACACACUCGGCCACAUACUUUGCAACAUCAAGCUUCAUCGUCGGCCACCAGUAGUAGGGUUUCAGGUCCCUAUACAUUUUAGUGCUACCCGGAUGAAUCGAGUACAUGGUCUUGUGAGCUUCUUCCAUCAGAAGAUCUCUAAUUCCUCCUGACUUAGGUACCCAAAUACGAUCUUGGAAUACCUUCAGUCCAUGACCGUUAGUACCAAACACCAACGUUUUACCCAAACGUUCCUCCUUUCGGUCAUUUUUCUCAGAAGCUUCCUCUUGAGCUUUCUUUAUACUUUCCACAAUGGUCGAGACAACUUCAAUUCUCAACGCUCUUGGCCUCUUCCUUUCAAGAUUGACCUUCCGACUGAGAGCAUCAGCAACAACAUUAGCUUUACCGGGGUGGUAAAGUAUCUCGCAGUCGUAGUCUUUAAGUAAUUCUAGCCAGCGUCGUUGCCUCAUAUUCAAUUCUUUCUGAUUAAAGAGGUAUUGGAGACUCUUAUGAUCAGUGAAAAGUUUGCACUUCGUGCCAUAGAGGUAAUGCCUCCAUAUUUUCAGAGCGAAAACUACCGCUGCCAACUCCAAAUCAUGAGUCGGGUAAUUCUUUUCAUGCUCUUUCAGCUGUCGAGACGCAUAUGCUAUCACCUUUUCUCUUUGGGUCAAAACACAACCCAAUCCAACACCAGACGCAUCGCUAUAAACAGCGAAGUCUUCAACUCCAUCGGGUAGAGAAAGUAUCGGUGCCUCGCAUAGCUUCUUCUUUAACUUCUCGAAUGCUUCUUUAUGCUUCUCACUCCAAGCAUAAGUAGCUCCUUUGUGGGUCAAAGCUGUUAAUGGAGUAGCAAUCGAAGAAAAGCCUUGGAUAAACCUUCGGUAAUAUCCGGCUAAUCCUAAAAAGCUUCGAAUCUCCGUGGGACUUUUCGGUUGUUCCCACUUCGUCACAGCUUCGAUCUUCGCUGGAUCAACCAUUAUCCCUUCUUGGUUGACCACGUGACCCAAGAAUUGGACUUCACGAAUCCAAAAAUCACAUUUGGAGAACUUCGCAUAAAGCUUCUCCUUCUUCAAAACUUCUAACACUUCUCGCAAGUGUCUGCCAUGCUCCUCCUGGCUUUUCGAGUAGAUCAGAAUGUCGUCUAUGAACACUAUCACGGAUUUAUCAAGGAAAGGAUUACAAACCCUAUUCAUCAAAUCCAUGAACGCUGCUGGAGCAUUGGUUAGUCCAAACGACAUAACCAAGAACUCGUAGUGUCCAUAUCUAGUUCUGAAUGCAGUCUUCUCGAUAUCUUGCUCUCUUACUUUCAGCUGAUGAUAUCCUGACCUAAGAUCGAUCUUCGAGAAAUAGCUCGAACCUUGCAAUUGAUCAAACAGGUCAUCAAUCCUCGGCAACGGAUAUCUAUUCUUUAUUGUUGCCUUGUUCAGCUCUCUGUAAUCGAUGCACAUUCUCAUACUUCCAUCUUUCUUCUUUACAAAUAACACCGGAGCUCCCCAGGGCGAUGAACUAGGUCUAAUGAAACCUUUGUCCAAUAACUCCUGAAGUUGCAUCAUUAGCUCCUUCAUCUCCGUCGGUGCUAAUCGAUAAGGUGCUUUUGCUAUUGGCGUGGUUCCUGGUAACAAGUCUAUUCUGAACUCCACUUGUCUAUCAGGUGGUAAUCCAGGAAGAUCCUCGGGAAAUACUUCCGGAUAAUCACACACCACUGGAAUGCUCUGCAUCACCUUCUUUUCUUUCUUAGCAUCAAUCACGAAUGCUAAAUAUGAUGUACAUCCCUUGGUCAAACACUUUCUGGCUUUCAUUAGAGAAAUGAUUCCAGAAUUCACUCUGCGUUUGUCCCCAUACACCAUAAACGAAUCUUUUCCAGGCGGGUUUACUUUAACUAUCUUCUUCUUGCACAAAAUUUCGGCAUCAUUGGCGCUAAGCCAAUCCAUUCCCAAGACGAUGUCGAAACCAUUUAGUUCGAUAGGCAAUAAUUCCUCGAGAAACUUAUUCCCAUUAAGGUCGAUCAAGACGUUUUUCAUACGAUGGCUAACAGGUACAAACUUGCCACUAGCUACUUCGACUAAUAAAGCAUUAUUUAGUCUAUCAACAGGCAAAGCUAGCUUUCUACCAAACUCAUGCGAAAUAAAGGAGUAGUUGGCUCCAGAAUCAAACAAUAUAUGAGCAGGUAAUUCGUUUACGAGAAAGGUACCUGAAGCGACAUCAGCUUCAUCUUUCGCAGCCUCAAGUGUCAUCUGGAAGGCUCUCGCCUUCGGCUUUGGUGGAAUGUUGGGCCUAGCUGCCUCCUUCUUCUUCGGACAGUCUUUCAAAAUAUGCCCCUCUUCAUUACAACCAAAACACAUCCUUUUGUUGUUCGGACAUUCAUUGGCAAAAUGUCCAACCUUUCCACACUUGUAGCAGGUCACAUCCUCGCUACAUUUCCCAAAGUGCUUUUUCUUACACUUAUCACACCACUUUGCUUCGCCUCCUUUUCCUCCAAACUUUUUCGAAUCAGAUUUCGAAAAUUUGCUCUUCUUACUGGAACCAGAUGUUCCUUCAAACUUCCUUUUCUCACCAACCUCAACCUUGACGGUGGUUCUCCCCUUGAUCAUGUUCUCCACAGACUUGGCAGCCCAGAUAGCUGCCUCUAGAGUAAGUGCCUGACGUACCGGCACCUCGUACUCCCAUGGAAGUCCCUUCGCAUACCGAUCCACCUUUGUCAGCUCGUCUGGAACGAUACGCAAGGCAAACUCCAUCUUAUCGGUGAAGUUAUUGGUGUAUUCAUCAACUGACAUGCUACCCUUCGUCAAUGUCAAAAACUUAUUCUCCAACUCCAACAGAUUUUGAGCCGAGCAGAACUUGCGCUUGAACUGCACCAAGAACUCUGCCCAUGACAAUUGCAGUGGCUCAUUAGGGCUUAAGGUCUUCCCUAGAGUGUUCCACCAACGAACGGCUCCACCUCGGAAUUGUCGCACGGCAUAGAUAGUCUGCAACUUACCUCUGCAGCCACAUGUCAUAAAGGCUAACUCCAUUUCGGAGAUCCAAUCCAUAACCCCAAUCGGAUCCUCCUUUCCAUUGAAGGUCGAUGGUUUGCAAGUCAAAAAGUCCUUGUACUUGCAUCCCAUUCCAUCAUUCCUUCCUUCAUGGUUAUCUUGCCUAACUAUCGGUGGGUUGGCUGGACCAACAGACCCACUGAAGUUUCCACCUUCCGAGUGCCCUUCAUUUAAUUCAGGCUCUUCCACACGAAUCGACAGUUCUUCACGAUUUUGUUGAAGCAACCGUCUAGUUUCAUCCAUCUGACGAUCCAACAUCGUCUGAAUCAUCAAUUGCACACCAGCCAUGGUUAUUGGCUCAGGUGCUGCUGCUACGACAGGUAUUGGCUCAAUCACUGGUGGUUGAUUCCUGUUUUCGUCAGCAUUUCCAACUCCACUUCUUGUUCUCACCAUUUUGAUCUACACCCCGAAUAAGGUGAAAUUAGAUCCUCAAUCAUGAUAGAUAUUCAAAUCAUCCUUAUCACUCCGAAACGUUUACAUGCUAGUUCUAAUAUCGUAGACGUACGCUUAGAAUCCUACACACAUAAGGUUUCUAGAUCCGGUCGGCAACAGACCAUAGAUCCGAACAAAUAAUAUCAUAUAUGGCAACAUAUAACAUUUAGCACAUAAAGCAUUUUAGGCAACUUUCCUAAAAUAAACUAGUGCUCGUGUCUAAAACACAACAGACACACAUCUCAAAACUUCACUUAGCAUUCUAAGUUUAAGUCUAGAAAUCCUACAAAUUCCUAGUUCGCUUAAACUAAUGCUCUGAUACCAACUGUGACAUCCCCAAAAUCUCGGCCAGAAAAGACCGAUUUUCAUUUAUGCUUUUAAAUAUUUUCAGAGUAAAUCCUUUUGAUUUGAAAGAGUUGCGGAAUUUGUUCCCAAAAACAAAACAUGAUAAAACAUUGUUUACCGAAGCAUUUCAUAAAAGAAAUGUAUUUUCAUUAUAAUCAAAACUCGGGGUGUCAUGUUCCGAUACAGACCAAUAAGCAUAAACGAAUACAUUACAAGUCAUAUAACAAAUAUAAACAUAUGCAGACUUGUAAACAAAACAACUUGAUGGUUCAUCCAUCUCAUGCCCUUCCGCCACUACCUGUAAUACAAUUUAAAACUGAGUGGGUCAGGCUUGGGAGCCUGGUGAGCAUAUAGGGUUUUCAACCCACAAUAAAUAUCAUAUUUAAUUUUCACCAACCAACAAUAACCCAAUUACCCAUUCCCGUUAUUCUCACUUUAAUGUCCCUAAAACAACUAACAUAAGGGACCUAGUCUA